rnacentral:lncRNA from 1 species
CCCGCCCCCCACGGAGAACUACAACUUCCAAGAAGUCGUGCGUUGGCCUCUGCGCCGCCACCAAGCGACCAUCUUGGGGAAAUGGUUUCUAAUUCAGAAUUCCAUACUCCAGCUGUGUUAAGGAGGUUAUUAGUUAGACCAGAAGAGGAAGAUAUUGGAUCCAGGAACUUAAGACCUUAACUCAUGAAAGGUAACUGGAACCCCAAGGCUGUGGCUAAAGGAAUCUUAGGGUAGCAGGUGCAAAGAAUGUUCAGUCCAUUAGAAGGAUCUGGACAGAUUUCUUGAAGGAGCUGAAAAAGAUGGAAUGUUGUUUUUUUUUGAGGGGGGAUUUUUUUUUUUUUUUUGAGACAGGGUCUCACUAUGUAGCCCAGGCUGGCCUUGAACUUGAGGGACUCCUCCUGCCUCAGCCUCCUGAGUGCUGGGAUUACAGGCAUGCGCCACUAUGCCUAGCUCAGUGAUGAACAUUGUUUUGUUUCAAAUGAUUUGAGAGGAUAUAUAGGCUUUUAGAAGAGUAUGGGCUAAAUUAGUGAUCAAUUCAGAGAAUAAGAAAAUUUAAAAAUUACAGCUAUUCAGGAAAAACAAAGUUGUCUUAAGAUGAG